CGCUAAAAGGCCGUUUGUUUCCCCGGGGACUCUUUUACAUGCGCACCCUGGGAGUGGAGACAGAAAGGCACAGGUAAGUGUUCACAGUAUUCAUGUCAAACUGAUUUGAAACUGCACUGCUUCCACCUUUUACUCAAGCACACAAAUAUGCUAAAACCCUCAUCCACAUCGUGUGCACUGUGUUACAGGUGGUGCGGCUAAAUUAACCCCCGGCUACCGGACGAGCUACCGGACGUCCCCGGAAAACACCUAUACAGAUACACGCAUACACACACCAUUAACCAAAUCAGAAUUAAAGUAUUUUGACUGAAAUACCUCUGUGGCUCAUCAUUUGCUAAUCAUGUGUAGCUUUUACUUUAACAACCCUAAAUGUUGUGUCUACCUGCACUAUAUAUAUAUAUAUAUCAACACUGCUUAGCUGCCCCAAUCCUCAGCUACUCACUGCAGUAGUAACGGAGACAACAGAGGCCUCCGUUACACAGAUCAUAUCAUGAAGUAUUCUGUGG